rnacentral:lncRNA from 1 species
ACACUCCCGAGCCUGGGGACCACUUCUAUUCUAGAGCGACAGAUUUGCUCUAUAAAAACAGUUGCAGUUAGAACUGGGCCAUGCUGGGAGGCUGCUGGCAGGGAGGCUGGCAAGAACUCAGGGCUGGGUAGAGGCUCUUGGGGGUGCACAGACAGGAGACACCUGUCUCCUUUUCUGGGGUGCCAGGAGUCCUGGCCGGUGAUGGACAGGAAUAAGCAGAGGCCCUGAGAGUGGCAGCUGACUUAUUUUGGCAUGGGUGCACAGUUGCUGAGCUGUUUCCUCUGUGGGUGGCCCAGCUCCCAACCUGAGACCUAUCUGAGCAUCCAUUGUAGCCUAGGUUCUGCUCUUACCUAAGGAAUCCUUACAGCCUUCAAGCACUUACACUGAUACAUCAGAGAACAGAGGCCAAAUUGGUGCUGAGCUGUCUCAUUCACGCACGGAUGCAUAAACAAAAUGGGAACCUCAGAACAGCCUGUGGACUGGAUUUCUGCCCCUGCCAUGCACGGAUGCUCAGCCUGUCAACUGGAUUUCUACCCCUGCACGUCGCAAUUCCAUUCUCCAGUUCAAGAUUCACCCAGCAAGAGUGAGGACACUUCAGUCUCUACUGAUGGUAGAAAGGGAGGAAGAGAGAAGGAAAGGGAGUGAAGAAUCAUUGAAAGUUUCAUGUGUUCCAUUAAAUAAUCAUAUUUUUGUAGUCAUAUAGACUGAUCUGAAAUGGUUCUCUCAUUUCUCAUUUCUUUUCUCUCAUUUCUCUUCUCAGGAAAUAAAAAUGACUUAAUAACGA